rnacentral:lncRNA from 1 species
AGUGUAGUGUAGUGUAGUGUAGGUCGGCCACCUGAUAUUGUUGGUUAGUGUUUACGAUUCGCAAAAUAAUAUCAGAGCCAAUGACAGGGACAUGAAAAAUUAUUGGCUAAAAUAGGUCCAAUGUCCUGUCUUGUGGCCUAGAUUAGACUGGGCCAAGCUUUAGUUGGACCCGUGAGCGUGGUACAUUUACACACUUUAAAUGUGAUAGGUGUGUCUUUUUCUUUAUAUUGAUUUUUUUGGAAUUGUUGGUUAUCGCUCACAAUCGAUAAAUAGAACAUAAAUUCUCCGUAUAUCUUUACAUCAAGCACUAUAGCAAAAACGAUGUAUAAUGAUACUUUUAAAUAUCGGUACAGAUAAAAAUCAGUACUGCAGGCUAAAUUAUCGACACUUUUUAAACGUGCUGCUAUAUAUGGGGUCGCUAUAUGUGAGGUCGUCUCGAUGUUUGGCAGCCACUCCUCCAGCGAUUUUUUGGCGGAAGGACACGUAGCGAUCGUAGCUCUCUACAGUCUCUACGAGAUCCUCGCGGCUGAACUUCAGUCACUGAAACCCUACCUCGUCUGCUGUCAAGACUGAGGAGGAGAAAGGGAGAUGGAGAUUUUUUUUUUUUUUCCUUUUUUCUAUUUGUAUCGAGACGAGUGGCUGAGUAGGGUUGGUUGAGUAAAGAAAUUUUUUAUUUUUAAUUAGAUUGGGCUCUAUAUUUAGGCUUUAGUAAAUUUUUUUUUUAAAAAAAAGGCAUAAAUAGGACACUUGUACAAAAGUGUCCGAAAAAUUUGUCGAUACAAUCUAAUUUUGUUCUAGUUAUCGAAAGUUUUUGUAUAUAAUUUAACGAAAUGUUAACGGAUGAGCUGGCGGAAAGAGAAAAAUGAGAUCAUAAAGUACUAAAUUGAUACACUUUAAACUAUAAAGUAUUAAAAUAAAAAAAUAUAAAAUUACAGAGGUUGUAUUUAAAGUUUAUCCAAUUAUUUUUAAAAUAAAAACCAAACCCACCCUCAAU